AGAGGGGGGGAAGAGCGCGGAGCCGACGGUGGUUGGUAGAAACUAGGAAUAAAAUCCCGCGGUUACAAUCACCACCGAGAUCCGUUCCUCCGUCUCUGCCUCUUCCUCCUCCUCCUCCUCCUCCUCCUCGUCGGCCGUCGCAGGGAAAGGAAGGCGAGGUCAGCGUUAGGGUUUUUGGGGGGAAGGGGACGGAUGGGGACGUUCCAGAGCUGGCGGCAGGCCUACGGGGCGCUCAAGGACACCACCAAGGUCGGCCUCGCCAAGGUCAACAGCGAAUUCAAGGAGCUCGACAUCGCCGUCGUCAAGGCCACGAACCACGUGGAAUGCCCGCCGAAGGAACGGCACGUUAGAAAAAUAUUUGUUGCUACGGCUGUAGAUAGGCCACGGACUGAUGUGGCUUAUUGCGUGCAUAUACUUGCUAGGAGAUUGGCCAAGACCCGUAACUGGGUGGUUGCCUUGAAAACAUUGAUAGUUAUCCACAGGGCAUUGAGAGAGGGCGAUCCUACAUUCAGAGAGGAUCUAUUAAACUAUUCCCGCAGAGGAAAUGUUCUGCGUAUAUCUAAUUUCAAGGAUGAUUCCAGUUCUCUUGCUUGGGAUUGCUCAGCAUGGGUUCGAACAUAUGCACUAUUCCUAGAGGAGCGGUUAGAGUGUUUUAGGAUUUUAAAAUAUGAUAUUGAAGCCGAACGUCUGAGGAAAGUUUCAGAUGGGGCUGCGAAGGGGCAAAGUAGAACAAAGAAUUUAGGUUGUCAGGAUCUUUUAGAUCAAUUGCCUGCUUUACAAAAUCUGCUCUACCGGCUAGUUGGCUGCCAGCCUGAAGGAGCAGCAAUUGGCAACUAUCUUAUACAGUAUGCAUUAGCUUUGGUUUUGAAAGAGAGCUUCAAAAUCUAUUGUGCAAUCAACGAUGGGAUUAUCAAUCUUGUGGAUUUGUUCUUUGAGAUGUCAAGACAUGAUGCCAUCAAAACGCUCGACAUCUAUAAAAGGGCCGGCCAGUUGGCUGAAAUUCUUGCUAGUUUCUAUGAGUUUUGCAAAGGUUUGGAGCUGGCCAGGAACUUUCAGUUUCCAAUUUUGAGAGAGCCACCGUUAUCAUUUCUUGCAACGAUGGAAGAAUACAUUAGGGAAGCUCCUCAUGUCGGUUCUGUUUCAAAUAAGACUCUGGAAUACCAAGAGAGGAAAUUAAUAACCAACAAACAAGAAGAAUCUUCCCCUUCAGAGAGUCAAAAACCAGCUGUAGAAGAUGAGAAAAAUUCACCAACCGAGACUGAAGAAAAAUCACAGCCUAUCAUGGAGGUAGCAGCUCAACCGGCAACAACUGUUGAUUUAUUGGGUUUGGAUGAAAUAAAUCCUGUUGCUGCUGAACUUGAGGAAAGCAAUGCAUUGGCUCUUGCUAUCAUUCCACAAGGGGAUGAUUCCAAACCCUCAAAUACUGGCGGCUUGGUUGGGAGUGGAAUUGAUUCUUCAGGAUGGGAGUUAGCUCUAGUCACAACACCAAGCAGUAAUAGUGACCAGUUGACCGACAACAAACUGGCUGGUGGAUUCGACAAGCUUUUGCUCAACAGCUUGUAUGAUGAUGCAGCCAGGCGGCAACAGAGCACAGGAGCAUACAGUGGGUUUGCCACCAAUCCUUUUGACUCGCAGGACCCUUUUGCUAUGUCCAACAAUUUUGCAGCACCACCCAACGUCCAGAUGGCUUUAAUAGCCCAGCAGCAGCAGUAUUAUCACCAGCAGCAAAGCAUGAUGAUGAUGCCGGACAACUAUCAACCUCACUAUCCUCAUUCCCAGGCUGCAUCUACCAAUCCGUUUGCUGAUCAUUUUGCUGGCUUCCCUCAGGCUGCUGCUCUACAUGGCAGAUCUGGUUUGAUUUGAUAUUUCCCCCAUUCUUUUUCCCGGAGGCAAUGCAUUCUUUUCUUCAUUAUACGUGCAAUAUACAUGUUCUUUCAUUCAUCUUAGUAGAUAAAAUGAAGGGAUAGAGAACUAGUUUCUUGUAAAGUGUGACGUGUUACCUUUCCUAUCGGAUUUGUAUUUCUUGAGUAUGAUUUUGAUCCAGAGGGCUUGAUGUAUUCGUUGUUCUUCUAAAUAUGCGUCCUGCUGCUUGAUCUGUGCGUGCCAAGUACUGCUUCCGGCCUUGUAUUUCUCAUUGCUCAAAUGUUUAGACAUUGUUGUCGUCACCAAACUUGUUUCUUAUAAUUUCAUUGAAGUCAUUAAAAAAAUAAAAUCUAGUGUUCUAUCGAGCAUUUCUUAAUAUAUAAUGUCUGAAAGCCUGAGUCCAAGACUAACUUCCUUAAACACGGUAAUCAUUUGCAUAAGAAAUUGUAAUUAAAUUGCUAUUUUAAAAUAGAGGUGCUGAUGGCUAUUAUUAGUGCUUUACAACCAGUUCUAAGUUAUCAACGGGGUACUGGGGUUUUCAUGUGCAGCAACGAAUUUAUAGCUUUUGAGCUGAUACGUAUCAUGAGGAAGAAGAUUAAUUUCAGCCCCCUGAGAAUUAAAAACGACAACAAGAUUUUUCUGGGCUUAUUCGUUUUCCCUUUCUCAAGAAGAAAAAAAGAAAGGGGAAAAAGAAGAAGGGGAAAAAAAAUAGGCGCUACGAAGCUAUAUGAUGCAUCCCGGAACCUCGUCUCUAAACCGUAUAUAACCCGUCUCUCUCUCUCUCUCUCUCUCUCUCUCUCCUGUGAAACAUACCACUUGAGCGCCGUGAUAUUCAGAAAGAUCAAGAUGGCGACCGCAGAAUUACGGGAAUCUUCUUGCACGAUUCCACACUUCCCGACGACGCCGUAGUACUACUUUCCGGUACCGGUCUUCUAUAAAUGUACAUGCCUCUCUCCCUUUCUUUAUUUUUUUUCUUCUCCUUCUCCCCCAAUCUCUCGCCUGCUCGGCUCUCCUCGGUCUCUCUUCUUCAUCUUCUUCUUCGAUGGCUCGAAUCCUUCCGCAAACCCUAAUAGGACGCUCCCAAAAUCUAAUCCGACAUCACCCGUCCCACCUUGCCUCGUCCGCCGCCUUGAGGACGCCAUCCACAGCGUCAUUAUCCGUCGAUCCGCCCCCUAAUGGCUCCAUUUCAUCCCGGGCUCCUCCUGCUCUGUUUCGCCGAGGAAGCAGGCCCACCGAGUGAACCCCAUGACGCAGGAGGAGACGCUCUCUUUCAUGACGAACAGAGGGUGGCCAUCGUCGUCCUCCUUCGUGGAAGAUCAUGCACUGAGGCUUGGAUGCAUUGUAGAAAGCGCCCCACCGACUGGGAAUGACGUAAACAGAGGUGGAGCUGAUUGUCUGCCUAGCUUCUUGUGAUAUUUCUGUAAUUUUAAAAAUAUUUAGAGUCACGAUAUAUCUCUCUGAUUUCAUGACAUGUGAAAGCUGCAGUUACUUUUUACUGUUACGAAUUAUGCAGCGGCUGAGAUAACACAGGUCGAGGAAAAAAAUCAAGCGCAAAGAUACUUUUUGGGAUUGAACAAAAUAUGCCCAACCUGCAUGUCUUGAAAGCAAUACUAUGGAGUCUAGAGCUUGGUCCUCCUGAGGCAUGUCUUGCCCUUUGUAACACCCCAAAGUAAUUGAAAUUGAGAUUAGGGCUGGAAUCAGUCAUCUGAUAUUUGCCUUCCAAUCAAACAUACACCACUGCUGUUAUCUUAAUGCACCAGUCUUGUCAGA